CAGAGUGAAUUUUACCGACCUUAUUCUCUACGUUCCAAGAAACGAGGAAAGAAAAUUCGUUGAAACAGUUGCAACAGAUGUUGAUUCUGUCGUUUUGAUUGUGAAGAUGGAGUCGCAAUGAACAGAAAAUCAUUGAAGUGAAUGUAUUGUGCAAAUCAAUCCAUACAAAUGGAUUGGUUUUCGAUGAUCUUCAAGUUGUUAUAAUGAUGGCAUUACCAUGAUCGAGUGAUUCUGUACCACCAGAGCAAGUGAUUUGGAAAUUUGAGAUCAUCAGACAUGUUGGUAUGACUAUCAUAUGAAACCGCAAAUCUUUCCAGUUUACUGCUAGAAACAGCACACAUCAAUCUAGUAUAUUGUAAUCAGAUAUAUUGUAAAGUAUUGAUGUGUUGUCAGGUUGGUUGUUUUAUUGUGAACUAGAAGAAGAAAACAGUCUUGAAGUGGUCAAGUCUGAUGCAAUAAAAUGCAGUUACCUGAUGUGACA